rnacentral:rRNA from 1 species
UACGUAGGGUGCGAGCGUUAAUCGGAAUUACUGGGCGUAAAGCGUGCGUAGGUGGUUCGUUGUGUCUGUGGUGAAAUCCCCGGGCUUAACCUGGGAAUGGCCAUGGAAACUGGCGAGCUGGAGUCUGGCAGAGGGGGGUGGAAUUCCGCGUGUAGCAGUGAAAUGCGUAGAGAUGCGGAGGAACACCGAUGGCGAAGGCAGCCCCCUGGGCUAAGACUGACGCUGAGGCACGAAAGCGUGGGGAGCAAACAGG